rnacentral:tRNA from 1 species
GGAGAAGUGGCCGAGUGGUUAAGGCGUCACGUUUAGGCUUUAGGCUAGGGUUCCUUUGGAAUCCUUUCCCAGAUCCCACCGUGAUCCGAAAGGGCGCGAGUUCGAAUCUCGUCUUCUUCA